UUCAUAUGCUCCGUCGAUCAUUUUCCCCAAAUUCAAUCGCUUUCUUUCCUCCCUCCUUCCCGAAUGUUCCACCAUUGCCGAUUCCCCUCAAUUACGAGACUCUUCGACUCUCUUCGACUCGAUCUGGUUUCCUUGCUGCUUUGGUCCCUGGAUCAACCUCAACCACUUUACGACUGAAAUCAUCUCUCACGCGUUAGGGGGUUUGCGAGACUGUGUUAAACCCUAGCUCGGAGGGUCUCCUCUGAAGCGGGAACUGUGUUUAUAAUGGAAGAGAAUGAAGGGAUUCUUAGAUUUUUGAACAAUAAAAGUGUCAAAUGGAAAGAGUACGUUGCAGGUGUCAUCUAAGAAUUGGAUCAACGAUUUACCAGAGUGAAGUCACUAAUCAGUGACCCUAUUGAGACAGGUCCAUCUCCUCAAAUGUGUGGUAUGAACAAGCCGUUUCUUUGAUUGAAAACAUGCCUGCAUGUGUUCAAUCACGUUGGGCUAACCUUUUUCCAAAAGUAGAGGGGAAGCAUUUCUGAUGUCAUCUAGACUUCCAGAUGAGUGUACUGAAGGACCAAAAGUGAGAACCUGGAUAAGGAAAGAC